UACGUAGGGUGCAAGCGUUGUCCGGAAUUACUGGGCGUAAAGCGCGUGUAGGCUGUUCGGAAAGUCGGGUGUGAAAGCCCUGGGCUCAACCUAGGAAGUGCACUCGAAACUCCCGAACUGGAGUCCCGGAGAGGAAGGUGGAAUUCUCGGUGUAGAGGUGAAAUUCGUAGAUAUCGAGAGGAACAUCGGUGGCGAAGGCGGCCUUCUGGACGGUGACUGACGCUGAGACGCGAAAGCGUGGGGAGCAAACAGG
rnacentral:rRNA from 1 species